rnacentral:rRNA from 1 species
CCUACGGGAGGCAGCAGUGAGGAAUAUUGGGCAAUGCCCGCAAGGGUGACCCAGCAACGCCGCGUGGAGGAUGAAGGCCGUAAGGUUGUAAACUCCUGUUAGAGGAGAAGAAUCGUACCGAUUGGAUCGGUAUUUGACUGUACCCUCAGAGAAAGCCCCGGCUAACUACGUGCCAGCAGCCGCGGUAAU